GUUCCAACGUGUACUGUCCGCAGAGAACGUGUUUAACAACCACUCAGACCCAUUCAGCGUUUCGUAGCCAAAAUAAAAACAAAUAGAAUGUCACUGUUAUACUGAACAUUCCCGUGUUUUUCACCGCUCAUGCGAGCAGUAGAAGCGGUUUCGUGUUCCGUCUCCCCUCAGUGACCGCAGCUGGAGGUUGCGCUCAAAAUGGCUGGAGGAAAACAGUUAUGAAGAUCAGCCGUUUUGCAAGAUAUCUCCUCUGAUUAUGACCUCCGAAGCGGAGUGAAGACGAACCCUCCGGUCUCCCGGGGACUCGGGGGAGAGCUGAGAGGGAGGGACAGGCCCUGCACCCCCCCCCCCCCGCGGCACCCUGGGGGCAGAGUGAAGGAGGAGGCUGAAACACCCAUUAGAAGGCCCAUCGAGGCUCCACCAGAUCAUCUGCUCCACCUCCAGCUCUUUGGCACGGUGUCGCGGCGCUGGAGAAGCUCUACCGGGGCCCGGCGUUGGCUCGGGGUGUGUCUGAGCUCAGCAUGUCUUCUUCAGCCUGCGUGGAAAUGAGUGUCGC
ensembl:lncRNA